GGUCUCAGGGUGGUGAACUUGCAUUGAGUGCCUAACCUGUGAUUUGAUGAUGAUGGUGCCUGUCCAUUAACUGAAAAGCUGAGGUGUUGAACAGUUUGAGGCCAGGAACUGCUUCUGAAAUAUCCUAGGCUCGUAAAUGGU